rnacentral:snRNA from 13 species
AAUGAAACUUACCCUUUUGGCUAAGAUCAAGUGUAGUAUCUGUUCUUAUCAGUUUAAUAUCUGACACAUCCUCUAUCCAAGGAAAACAUAUUAAAUGGAGGGUUUUUUUUUUUUUUUUUGAGACAGAAAAAUGGGUUUUUGAAGCAGGGAAAUGGAAUAGGAGUUUGCUCCAGCCACUCUACACAUCAACCUGUAUUUCAGUACCUCCAGAAACCCAGGAAUGGUGCAUCUUUC